UACGUAGGUAGCGAGCGUUGUUCGGAUUUAUUGGGCGUAAAGGGUCCGCAGGGGGCAGACUAAGUCUGAUGUGAAAUCUCACGGCUCAACCGUGAAACUGCAUUGGAAACUGGCCUGCUAGAGUAUCGGAGAGGAAAGCGGAAUUCCUGGUGUAGCGGUGGAAUGCGUAGAUAUCAGGAAGAACACCAACAGCGAAGGCAGCUUUCUGGACGAUCACUGACCCUCAGGGACGAAAGCGUGGGGAGCAAACAGGAUUAGAUACCCUGGUAGUCCACGCCGUAAACGUUGUGAACUUGAUGUGGGAGGAUUUAGUCCCUUCCGCGUCGCAGCUAACGCGUUAAGUUCACCGCCUGGGGACUACGGCCGCAAGGCUAAA
rnacentral:rRNA from 1 species